rnacentral:lncRNA from 1 species
UGGGGGUCCGUGGGAGGAGACCCUCACACCGUUUGAGCAGCGGGUGGUGGCGAUUAUUAUUAUAGGGUAAGUGGCGUGUCACACAAAUGUCCACAUGCUUUGUCAUCCCACUGAGCAAAAGACGUAUAUUAGACGUCUAGUCUAAGUUUAUCCUUCAUUUCAACGUCGGGAUUCAGUCUAUUUUUAGACGUGAUUUAUACUUCGCCCUUAACUUCAUUUUUCGAUCACUUUUUAUGCAAUAAACAACUGUAAUGUGCAUAACUGACCUUGAAAUACUGGAUUACAUUACCUAUGAUACCGUGGAGAGAGAUGUAAACGCAACAGAUACACAGAAGCAGGAAUUGAAAUAAAGAAAUAUUUUUAUUGUGUCACAGAAAUCAAUAUGUCGGCCGUGUCGCCGGCUUGCGGAACCCUGGCCCGCGGCAGCCCGUCCGCCGGCUCGGAGUCGUCGGCCAGGACCAGCGGCAUUCGGGCCACCCCGGCCCCCGGCCCCAGCACCAGCAUCAGCACCAGCGCGCCGACAAGCGGUGGAGCGUCCACCAGCCGCGGCGCUUCCGCUGGACCACCCGGACGCAGUGGAAGGGUCCUCGCGGAGGGGGUCCUGCAAUCGCAGGAAGAAAUCAUCAGGGGGAUCGCGGGGAUCAACGAGCGGCUGGACCGGCUCGUAAAUUUCCUCGAGCGUCUGGUGGAGAAAAUACAUUAAUUUGGCUCAUUGAACUGUGUAUUCACUUCUUACCCAUUCACACUGUGGCGAUGAGAUUCUCCCGCGCGAGGACGGCGGGCC